UGGGGCGUGGCCAAGUGGUAAGGCAGCGGGUUUUGAUCCCGUCAUUCGGAGGUUCGAACCCUUCCGUCCCAG
rnacentral:tRNA from 1 species